AAGUAAUGUGUUUUUUAUCUUCUUCGCAUGCACAGGUUUUGUGCAUGUGCAGAAGGUCUGCAUUCACAUGUGAUAUGCAUGUGCAAGUGAAGUGAGUGCGCGCGUGUGGCUCGUGCAUUUCCAAGCCAGUAAGGAAGUCAUGCUGGCCACAUGACCACGGAGACGUCUUUGGACAGCGCUGGCUCUUCGGCUUUGAAACGGAGAUGAGCACCGCCUCCUAGAGUCAGGAAUGACUAGCACGCUAUAUGAUUGAUCCAAAUACUCUUAGGAAAGGUGCGGUCCAGGUCUCUUCAAUGAAACAAUCCACUCUGUGGGAUCCAGGAAAUGCAACUUCAAGGAAGUGACCUCUCCUUUAUGGAUUGACCUUUAUCCUGACCUAUAGUUGGCACUGACCCUUCUGGCCUUUAGAAAAGCUAUCAGGAACUGGCUUUUCUCCUAAAAUGUUUGGUCAGGAUAUGUUGGAAUCCCAUACAUGAUGGCAUAUUUUCUGUUCGGACCACCAUUUUGGUAUUUUUAAGUGGUUUCUGCAUUGUAAGGUUGUUUAUUCUGUUUAUUUCUCUAUUGAACUUUUAUUCUUUUUAUUUGGUUCUAUUAAAUUGCUUGUAAGUCACUCAAAAUCACUUUAAUUGAGUUGGAUAACAUAUAAUAUUUUAAAUAAAUAGUUUUUAAAGUACUACUUGAUCCACCAUUUUAAUCCUAUCACUUAAUUGGCUACAUACCACAUGCUAAUAUGUAAGUUUUUAAAACAAUGUUUUGUUUAAAAAAAGCCACACAUAACACCUGAAGUCAAAAGCAACCAAAUCACAUUAUGGCUUAAUACAUAAACAAGGAGAAAACCCUACACCUAUCGGCACUAAAGAUGUUCCAAGGUCAAGUAAUGAAACAUCUCAAAGAAAACCACCAAGCUCAGAGGGCAUCAAAACCCCACAUAAAUCCAGAUCCAUUUCUUCCCGUGUUUCUCCCCUCUAUCUUCCCUUGUUAAAUUUAGCAUCAAAUCUAACAAAGGAUGGUGCUUGAAAAGCAGUUCACUAUUUGAUUUACCUAAAAUCAGUUCUGGAUAUAGCUUGAAAUCAUACUGCAAUCCAAUGCUAUUACAAUAAUGGAGGUUUUGCGUGUGAAUACUUUUGGAAGAGAAUUUCAGCCAGUUUGACUUAUAGCACUCAUGAGUUUGGAAAAUACUGUUGUGAGCCAACAUCUCCUGUGAUUCCAGAUUGGCAUAAGAUGAGAUGGAAGUGUUUAAAAUGAAUAAUAACAGUAAUUAAUAAAAUACAUCUGAAGGAAUUUUUUUGCAGUGUAUAAUGUAAAACAGUUCCAUUCGUAUGCAAUCUACUUUCCCUUUAUAUCACAUUCCAAUGUAAUCUAAAGACAAGGUGGGAUGAAUUGAUUGCAAUGGAUAUAGCAAAUUCUACAUGAUUUUGAGGAAUGUUGUAUAGAUGGGACAUUAUUGAUUUGUUCUUUAUUUCUUUAUUUUGCUUUUGGAUUUGUUUUGGUUUGUAGCCUAUUCAGGGACAAUAUAUAGUCUUGAAUGAAACUUACAUGAGGGAAAGAUGAAAGGAGAAAAUAGACAUAAUAUUUGUAUUAAAUUUACUUUUAUUAUUUUUCUUUUUUUCUGUUUUUCCUUUCAACUUUUAAAAAAUUAUGCAUUUUUUUCUAUGACAAUGUAUUCAUGUCUGUCAUAAUUAUGUAUGUAUUUUAUUCCUUUUUGCUCUAAUUGUUUUAAAACCAAUAAAAAAUUUAAAAAAGAAAAUGAAUGAAUUAUAGGAUAGGAUAGAAUAGAGAGAUUCUAGGCUGUGUCUUUUUUUGAAAAGUAAAUAGAUCAAUAGGUCUGGUUAAAAUAAUAUAUGCCUCCCUUCUAAAACAGCCAAUGAAAUGAAUCGUUUUCCUCAAUAAAUAAGCAAGUAUUUAUUUAAUUUGGUUCUGUUUAACUAAUGUUAGCACUUAUGUGGAGAACUGAUCCCUUUUUAGGUCAUAUUUAUACAAUACUGAAAAUUCAGAUGGUUCACAAACUUAAGUCCAGUUUUGCAUAUUAUAUAUUACCGUACAUAUACAUUUAUUAUGUACAUAUUUUAUGACCAUCAAAGAAUAGAAGUCUAGAAUUCAUUAGGUUAGAAGUUACUUUUUAAAGCAUACUGUAGGCUCAUUUGAAGACUAUGUAAGAACAUGACAAGAUUGCUCUCUCUUUGUGUUGCUUGUUGUGCCUCCUUAAAUUUCACUUUCUCUACUAUUAUCUUGGAAUUUUUUAAGUUCUUGAAAACAUUGUUCUCCUGGGACCUACGACUGGAUUAAAUAGUUUUUAAUUAUUAAAGUGAAUUGUACAGUAUGUUGCAAAAUUCUAUGUUGGAUACCAGGAACAGAUGGCAUUUGAAUAUCAUUACAUAAAUAGAUGGUACAUUUUCUGAAAUCAUCUUUCUGUCUCUGCAUAGGAACCCAAUAAAGCCAUAUAUUUUUUCCAUUUUGAAUUUGCCCUGAAUUAGCAUUAAAAUGUAGGACACAGGGACAUUUCUAUAUAAAGGAGGAGAAGCUGAGCAAAGUCUAAGCUGGAGAAUGGGAGUGGAGAGGUGGUGAUCCAAACCUAUUAUGGGAGAAAAAAAAUGCAUUGUAUAGGAAGAACUCUGAUAAAUCAGAACAAAUGCCAACCUAACCCAGUAUUCUGUGUCCUGCAGAAGCAUUUGGUAAGCAGCAAACGAGAUAAAUACAUCUGUCAUAAGAUUUUUCUAUUCUUAUGCCCAAUUACAGAACAAAUAUACUAUGGCAAUCUUUUUUCCUGCAACAUGUUGCCUUCAACUAGCCCUCAGACCAUUCUUACUGCUGCUUAAGUGAUAUUUUCACUCAUAUUCUGUCAUUGGCUAGGUGUUAUACAUAAUAAAUAAAUACCUGUAUGUAAGAAUGAAAUGCUAUUCAGA